rnacentral:piRNA from 1 species
UGGAAUCGUGGCCUCUCUCUUAAUCGUC